ensembl:lncRNA EIF1B-AS1 EIF1B antisense RNA 1
UACAAAUAUGGCGUUUUGGACGGGCUCGAUAGUUUGCUUGGCCUCUACUCAAGGAAUGCUGAUGGUAUAGCAAGAAGGUAUUCUGAGCAUUAUAUCAAUGGGGAAGUUCUAGAUCUUUUGCAAAGCAGGAGAGUCAUCCUAGGGCAUCCAGAGGCCUUCAGGGUGGCCUGAAGUCUCCCACCGCACCACCUUUGGGUUAACCUAGCCUGUCCCACAGAAGAUGAUGAAGUUGGGUCUGGAGGCAAGCUGACUCAGAUGGAUUCUCGAUUUUAUGAUGCUGGACUGGAGAUGGGUUUCACCAUGUUGCCCAAGCUAGUCUCGAACUCGUGGACUCAAGCAAUCCACCUGCCUCAGCCUCCCAAAGUGCCUUACAGGCGUGAGCCACCGCACCUGGCUGAACUGUUGUGGAGACUGAAGAGGUCGUAUGUACUCAUUGGUGCAGCUACAAGACAGUGAUGCCUUCUGAAGUCUGGGUUCCCAGUGACUACGUCUAUGGAGCAGAGCCCUUCUAAACUAUAAUGAACAUGUCGUGAGCCAGAAAUAAACUUGUGUUAUGUUAAGCUACUGGGAUUUGGGGGACUGUUUGUUCCCUCAGUACAGUCUAGACUAACCUGACGUAUUAACAUAAGUGUCUACCUAACACAACAUGCCAACCAUUUAAUUAUACUCAACUCAAUUCAACCUGACUCUUCCUUAGCUGGAUAUCAAUUAUAUAGAAUAAAGGCUUUACAAGGGUAAGGGUCUUAGUAUUGUUCACUAAUGUAUGCCAAGUUCUUAGAACAGUGCCUGGGACAAUAUUAUUUGUGAUAUGAGUGCAUUUUAAAAGUUUUAAUAAUCUCAGCACUUUGGGAGGCCGAGGCGGGUGGAUCACAAGGUCAGGAGAUCGAGACCAUCCUGGCUAACGCAGUGAAACCCUGUCUCUACUAAAAAUACAAAAAAAUUAGCCAGGCAUGGUGGCGGGCUCCUGUAGUCCCAGCUACUGGGGAGGCUGAGGCAGGAGAAUGGCGUGAACCCAGGAGGCAGAGCUUGCAGUGAGCCGAGAUUGUGCGACUGCACUCCAGCCUGGGUGACAGAGCGAGACUCUGUCUCAAAAAAAAAAAAAAAAAGUUUUAAUAAGACUCUGAGUGGGGCUUUCAAAAACCAGAAUGUUGAAGAUCUACAAAGGUCUUAAAAUAGCUCAGAUGGGUUUAGAUACAGUCAGGACUGCUAGCUAUGUUUCAUGUUGAUAAGAGAGAACUCCAAUUUUUUAGGUCCAUCCUAUAGCCCAGCUGAUGAAAAGAAGAUAAAAUUCAGAGAUGGAUGAAACACAUUUCAUCCUCAAGGCCUUUCUUGUGUUCUUUCAUUUUUAAAUUCCUCUGCUAUUACUCUUUACGGAGAAGAGAACAGAGCAAAAUGUAUUCCUUUGAAUAGUGUAAUUUAAAAAUUACUCCAGAGCAAAGUCAAAAGAUGUGAUAUGUAGGCCGCUAGCCUACACUUCUAACUUAAGUUUUUAGUUUUAAUUGUGAAGUAUAAUGUUGUUUUUAAAUAUAGAAAUUUCAAGCUCUAGAACCAUCACACUAAGAUGACAAUGGUAAUUACACUGACAGCUGCAGAUAUUAGCAUGAACUCAAUACCAAAAAUAAAUCAGACCAUGAAUAAUGGAAAUAAAAGAAAACUGGCAGUUUUAAGAAAUUCCAGAAAUAGAGCAGAGAAAAUGGAGGGAAGAAAUUAUCAAAGAAGUAGAAUGAAAAUUUCCAGAAGUGGAGAAAAGAAAUGUCCAGAUUAAAAGUGCUAAAUAAAAACAUGCCAUUGUGAAUUUUUAAAACAGUGAUGAUGGAGAGAAGAGAGAGAGAGAAAAUUAGAGACAGGGAGAGGGCAGUGAGGAAGAGAAAGAGAAAGAGAAAAGGUAACUUACAAGUAAUGGAAAUGAAAUUAGCAUCAGACUUCUUAAUAAUAACACUGGCUAUUAGAAGAUAGUGAAAUGUUGCUUUAAGAUUCCCUCCUAUGUCCAAGUAAAAUGAUGAUAAUAACAAAUAAUUCCAAUAUGCAGACAAUAGUUACUAUCUAUUGACUAUUUUAUCAAGUGUCAGGAACUGGGCUAAAUUCAUCACAUUGAUCUCAUUUAAUGCUCAAAACAAAUUUAAAAGGUAACAUUAUUAUCCCCAUUUUACAUAUGAAGAAAUGAGAUGCAAAAAGAUUAAGUAACUUGUGAAAGGUCAGCUUUGGAGGCAAAAUGUGACAGUUUCCAAAAAUUAUAAAAAUACAAUGAUUAGGCAGUGAGACAUUAGUGUCAUAGCUAGCAUAC